rnacentral:rRNA from 1 species
AACGAACGCUGGCGGCAUGCCUAACACAUGCAAGUCGAACGAUCCCUUCGGGGAUAGUGGCGCACGGGUGCGUACCGCGUGGGAACCUGCCCUUAGGUUCGGAAUCACUCAGAGAAAUUUGAGCUAAUACCGCAUAAUGUCUUCGGACCAAGGAUUUAUCGCCUUUGGAUGGGCGCGCGUUGGAUUCGCUGGUUGGUGGGGGAAAGGCCUACCAAGGCGACGAUCCAUAGCUGGUCUGAGAGGAUGAUCAGCCACACUGGCACUGAGACACGGCCCAGACUCCUACGGGAGGGAGCAGUGGGGAAUAUUGGACAAGGGGCGAAAGCCUGAUCAAGCAAUGCGGCGUGAGAGAUGAAGGCCGUAGGAUUGUAAAGCUCUUUGAGACGGGAUGAUAAUGACAGUACCGGGAGAAUAAGCCCCGGCUAACUCCGUG